UUUGCCUUUUCCCUCCAAAAAACGCUAUGAGUUCAAGGUCAGGGCUCGUAUAGGGUUAUUAUGUGGAGAGUCCAAGUUUUGGAGUGACUGGAGUGAGCCUGUCUACUGGGGAUCUUAAAAGACCUACGACACCUCAGAAAACAUCUUUAGGAAUAACAGCACUUUAGGCAUGCUGCAGUACAUCACAUCAGACUGCACAACAGUGCCUACUGUGGCUUCAACACCUGUCUUCUGCACACACACACA